GCUCUUUCUUUUCACACCAUUGUCCAAUGCUUGAUACUGACAAAAGGCUCCCUCUUGAUACGAAUGACAAUUCAUUGGUAUCAUUUAAGUUUCAAAUGUAUUCAUUGUAAUUAUCCAUGCUUUGACUUUAAAUGUAGCCUAUUAUGCUCUUUUUCAGGUGCAUAUUUUUUUUAUCUCAAGUAACAGUUAAAACAUGUUUACAUGCAAUAAUGCUCAAAACUGCCUUGUUUUUAUAAUCCUGGCUGUUCUGCUGCACCUCCUCUUACCCUCCGUCUGAAACGCUCUAUUUUAGUGUCUGCUCCUCCAUCCAGAAAAGCCAGUCCACCCUGAUUGGUCAGCUAGCCCACUCUGUUGUGAUUGGUCAACCACUCAGCACAUGUGUCGGAAAUAUCCCGCCCCUUACCAUAAACAGAAUUCAGCUCCAAAAUAUCUCUGAGCAGCCAAAAACUAUGUAGGAGUCAAGAUUAACGGUAGCAUCUGUCCUGCUGAUCAGUACGAAUGUGAGUCAGUUAUAGAAAGUCAGGAGGAACAAGCCGAUAGACCCGAACCAGCGUCACAUCCAGGACUUGAGCAGGACCUUUCACAGUGGUCAAUAAUAGCAGAAAAUGUGGCAGAAUGGAAAAAGAAGUUGAAAACGUCUGCUGCCAAGAAAUACGACAGGUUUUGAAACAAAUGAACCAGGUUCCAGUCCCUCCUACAUGCAUGGUCCACCAUCCUGUCUUCGAUCCAAACUGUAUAAAUCCAUACACCCUGCUGAACAUUCACAUCAUAUAUGGAGCUGACUAUUGACGUUUUAGGGGGGAAUAGAACUGAGAAAUAUUUAUUUUUCCUCCAAAUGACUAAAAAAAUACAAAAAGACGCAUUUGUAAGUACUGUAAUAGUGUACAGACACUUUUGAGCUGCAAUGGAAAUUAUUUAUGAUUCUCUUCAUACAGGUGAUACCAACAUCUCCUCAACAAAUGGAGUUUGGUCCUCAAACACCUCCUCAAAUAGGCUACCAUUCUCAUCAGUUCAUCCACGUACAUAGCACUUAAUAGUCAUUUAUUUUGUAUUGUAUUAUUUGUAUGGAAGGAUGACUCCUUAUGCCUUACUUAUAUUUAAAAGGUA